AACAGGAUUAGAUACCCUGGUAGUCCACGCCGUAAACGAUGUCGACUUGGAGGUUGUGCCCUUGAGGCGUGGCUUCCGGAGCUAACGCGUUAAGUCGACCGCCUGGGGAGUACGGCCGCAAGGUUAAAACUCAAAUGAAUUGACGGGGGCCCGCACAAGCGGUGGAGCAUGUGGUUUAAUUCGAUACAACGCGAAGAACCUUACCUACCCUUGACAUCCAGAGAACUUUCCAGAGAUGGAUUGGUGCCUUCGGGAACUCUGAGACAGGUGCUGCAUGGCUGUCGUCAGCUCGUGUUGUGAAAUGUUGGGUUAAGUCCCGCAACGAGCGCAACCCUUAUCCUUUGUUGCCAGCGGUUAGGCCGGGAACUCAAAGGAGACUGCCAGUGAUAAACUGGAGGAAGGUGGGGAUGACGUCAAGUCAUCAUGGCCCUUACGAGUAGGGCUACACACGUGCUACAAUGGCGCAUACAAAGAGAAGCGACCUCGCGAGAGCAAGCGGACCUCAUAAAGUGCGUCGUAGUCCGGAUUGGAGUCUGCAACUCGACUCCAUGAAGUCGGAAUCGCUAGUAAUCGUGGAUCAGAACGCCACGGUGAAUACGUUCCCGGGCCUUGUACACACCGCCCGUCACACCAUGGGAGUGGGUUGCAAAAGAAGUAGGUAGCUUAACCUUCGGGAGGGCGCUUACCACUUUGUGAUUCAUGACUGGGGUGAAGUCGUAACAAGGUAACC
rnacentral:rRNA from 1 species